AAUAGAUACCCCGGUAGUCCACGCCGUAAACUAUGAUUACUCGAUGUCGGCGAUAUACUGUCGGUGUCCAAGCGAAAGUGAUAAGUAAUCCACCUGGGGAGUACGAUCGCAAGGUUGAAACUCAAAGGAAUUGACGGGGGCCCGCACAAGCGGUGGAGCAUGUGGUUUAAUUCGAUGAUACGCGAGGAACCUUACCUGGGCUUGAAUGCAUUAUGACCGUCCCGGAAACGGGACUUUCUUCGGACAGAAUGCAAGGUGCUGCAUGGUUGUCGUCAGCUCGUGCUGUGAGGUGUCGGGUUAAGUCCCAUAACGAGCGCAACCCCUAUUCUUAGUUGCCAGCGGGUAAUGCCGGGGACUCUAAGAAACUGCCGCGUAAGCGGUGAGGAAGGUGGGGAUGACGUCAAAUCAUCACGGCCCUUACGUCCAGGGCUACACACGUGCUACAAUGGUCAGUACAAAGGGCAGCUACCUGGUGACAGGAUGCUAAUCUCGAAAACUGAUCUCAGUUCGGAUCGAAGUCUGCAACUCGUAC
rnacentral:rRNA from 1 species